AGAGGCCCUCCGCGGCCAGGGUGGAAUGUUUGCCUCGUCGCUGCGGCAACAAAGCAAGCAUUCCGCCAGGCUGCUCAUGCUGCCCGC
rfam:Myotis lucifugus cont2.337, whole genome shotgun sequence.